AUUUUCCCACUCCAAUUUUAUCUACUUACACUCCUUUUUUAGUUAUAAAAUGGAGUGUAUGUGGAUAAAAUUGGAGUGGGCAAAUCACCACUC
rnacentral:miRNA from 1 species